rnacentral:rRNA from 1 species
GACGAACGCUGGCGGCGUGCUUAACACAUGCAAGUCGAACGGAAAGGGCCUGCUUUUGUGGGAUGCUCGAGUGGCGAACGGGUGAGUAACACGUGAGUAACCUGCCCUUGACUUUGGGAUAACUUCAGGAAACUGGGGCUAAUACCGGAUAGGAGCUCCUGCUGCAUGGUGGGGGUUGGAAAGUUUCGGCGGUUGGGGAUGGACUCGCGGCUUAUCAGCUUGUUGGUGGGGUAGUGGCUUACCAAGGCUUUGACGGGUAGCCGGCCUGAGAGGGUGACCGGCCACAUUGGGACUGAGAUACGGCCCAGACUCCUACGGGAGGCAGCAGUGGGGAAUAUUGCACAAUGGGCGGAAGCCUGAUGCAGCAACGCCGCGUGCGGGAUGACGGCCUUCGGGUUGUAAACCGCUUUCGCCUGUGACGAAGCGUGAGUGACGGUAAUGGGUAAAGAAGCACCGGCUAACUACGUG